AGGACAAACGCUGGCGGGGUGCAUGAGACAUGCAAGUCGAACGAGGUGCCAACGAGCUUGCUCGAUGGUUACCUAGUGGCGGACGGCUGAGUAACGCGUAGGUGACCUGCCCGGAAGUGGGGAAUAACUGCCCGAAAGGGUGGCUAAUACCGCAUGUGGUCGACGAUUCGAUUCGUCGUCUAAAGGAGUAAUCCGCUUCCGGAGGGGCCUGCGUCCGAUUAGCUAGUUGGUGGGGUAACGGCUCACCAAGGCGACGAUCGGUAGCUGGUCUGAGAGGAUGAUCAGCCAGACUGGGACUGAGAACGGCCCAGACUCCUACGGGAGGCAGCAGUCGGGAAUUUUGCCCAAUGGACGAAAGUCUGAGGCAGCAACUCCGCGUGAGGGAUGAAGGCUCUAGGGUCGUAAACCUCUUUUCUCUAGGGAAGAUCCAAGACGGUACCUGAGGAAUAAGCCACGGCUAACUACGUGCCAGCAGCCGC
rnacentral:rRNA from 1 species